rnacentral:rRNA from 2 species
UGAAGCGGCAACAGCUCAAAUUUGAAAUCUGGCCCCCAGGGCCCGAGUUGUAAUUUGUAGAGGAUGCUUUUGGCGAGGCGCCUUCCGAGUUCCCUGGAACGGGACGCCAUAGAGGGUGAGAGCCCCGUCUGGUCGGACGCCAAGCCUGUGUAAAGCUCCUUCGACGAGUCGAGUAGUUUGGGAAUGCUGCUCAAAAUGGGAGGUAUAUGUCUUCUAAAGCUAAAUAUUGGCCAGAGACCGAUAGCGCACAAGUAGAGUGAUCGAAAGAUGAAAAGCACUUUGAAAAGAGGGUUAAAAAGUACGUGAAAUUGUUGAAAGGGAAGCGCCUAUGACCAGACUUGGGCCCGGUGAAUCAUCCAGCGUUCUCGCUGGUGCACUUUGCCGGGCACAGGCCAGCAUCAGUUUGGCGCGGGGGAUAAAGGCUCUGGGAAUGUGGCUCCCCCGGGAGUGUUAUAGCCCACUGCGUAAUACCCUGCGCUGGACUGAGGUACGCGCAUUGCAAGGAUGCUGGCGUAAUGGUCAUCAGCGACCCGUCUUGAAACACGGACCAAGGAGUCGUCUUCGUAUGCGAGUGUUCGGGUGUCAAACCCCUACGCGUAAUGAAAGUGAACGCAGGUGAGAGCUUCGGCGCAUCAUCGACCGAUCCUGAUGUUCUCGGAUGGAUUUGAGUAAGAGCAUACGGGGCCGGACCCGAAAGAAGGUGAACUAUGCCUGUAUAGGGUGAAGCCAGAGGAAACUCUGGUGGAGGCUCGCAGCGGUUCUGACGUGCGAAUCGAUCGUCAAAUAUGGGCAUGGGGGCGAAAGACUAAUCGAACCUUCUAGUAGCUGGUUUCCGCCGAAGUUUCCCUCAGGAUAGCAGUGUUGAACUCAGUUUUAUGAGGUAAAGCGAAUGAUUAGGGACUCGGGGGCGCUAUAUUGCCUUCAUCCAUUCUCAAACUUUAAAUAUGUAAGAAGCCCUUGUUACUUAAUUGAACGUGGGCAUUCGAAUGUAGCAACACUAGUGGGCCAUUUUUGGUAAGCAGAACUGGCGAUGCGGGAUGAACCGAACGCGAGGUUAAGGUGCCGGAGUGGACGCUCAUCAGACACCACAAAAGGUGUUAGUACAUCUUGACAGCAGGACGGUGGCCAUGGAAGUCGGAAUCCGCUAAGGACUGUGUAACAACUCACCUGCCGAAUGUACUAGCCCUGAAAAUGGAUGGCGCUCAAGCGUCCCACCCAUACCUCGCCCUCAGGGUAGAAACGAAGCCCUGAGGAGUAGGCGGACGUGGAGGUCAGUGACGAAGCC